AAAGUCUGAUCUGCCCAAUGAAGGAAUUUAAAUGGCUGCGGUAUUAUGACCGUACAAAGGUAGCAUAAUAAUUAGUUUUUUAAUUGAAAACUGGUAUGAAUGGUUGAACGAGAAAAAAGCUGUCUCAAUUAUAAUAUUAAUUAGAAUUUUAUUUUUAAGUUAAAAAGCUUAAAUAAGUUUAAAAGACGAGAAGACCCUAUAGAGUUUUAUAUUUAAAUUUAUUUUAAUUUUUUAGUAUAAUUAUAUUUAUAAUAAUUUUAAAUAUUUAAUUGGGGUGAUUGAAAAAUUUAAUGAACUUUUUUUAUUUUAAAGUCAUUGAUAUAUGUGUAUAUGAUCCA
rnacentral:rRNA from 1 species